rnacentral:rRNA from 1 species
GUGGGGAAUCUUGCGCAAUGGGCGAAAGCCUGACGCAGCCAUGCCGCGUGAAUGAUGAAGGUCUUAGGAUUGUAAAAUUCUUUCACCGGGGACGAUAAUGACGGUACCCGGAGAAGAAGCCCCGGCUAACUUCGUGCCAGCAGCCGCGGUAAUACGCAGGGGGCUAGUGUUGCUCGGAAUUACUGGGCGUAAAGGGCGCGUAGGCGGACAGUUUAGUCAGAGGUGAAAGCCCAGGGCUCAACCUUGGAAUUGCCUUUGAUACUGGCUGUCUUGAGUACGGGAGAGGUGAGUGGAACUCCGAGUGUAGAGGUUAAAUUCGUAGAUAUUCGGAAGAACACCAGUGGCGAAGGCGACUCACUGGCCCGUUACUGACGCUGAGGCGCGAAAGCGUGGGGAGCAAACAGGAUUAGAAACCCUGGUAGUCC